CAGCAGCCGCGGUAAUACGAAGGGGGCUAGCGUUGUUCGGAAUUACUGGGCGUAAAGCGCACGUAGGCGGAUUGUUAAGUUAGGGGUAAAAUCCCAGGGCUCAACCCUGGAACUGCCUUUAAUACUGGCAAUCUCGAGUCCGAGAGAGGUGAGUGGAAUUCCGAGCGUAGAGGUGAAAUUCGUAGAUAUUCGGAGGAACACCAGUGGCGAAGGCGGCUCACUGGCUCGGUACUGACGCUGAGGUGCGAAAGCGUGGGGAGCAAACAGGAUUAGAUACCCCGGUAGUCCCUGUCUCUUAUAC
rnacentral:rRNA from 1 species